UUGUUUAGUUGGAACCCACAAACCAACAGAGUAAUAUGCAACUAGGAUAUCAGUAGUGAAAUUCAAACUACUAAUAUCCGUUCUUCCUAGCUACUUCUAGCUCUAUCUUACAUGAGAAGGUUAACAAAUGGCUACUCUAUGUUAUAAAGAGGGACAAUACAUGCAUGUCUAGUGGGACUUCAUGUCUAUCUCACUUUGCAUUUCCCAAUUUACAAAUACUAAAGAAUACGAGCACCAAGCUACACUUAUCUUGGUAUCAUCUCGGAUACACUUUGAAAACUAUGGAAA
rnacentral:misc_RNA from 1 species